rnacentral:rRNA from 1 species
AAAUUGAAGAGUUUGAUCAUGGCUCAGAUUGAACGCUGGCGGCAGGCCUAACACAUGCAAGUCGAACGGUAGCACAGAGAGCUUGCUCUCGGGUGACGAGUGGCGGACGGGUGAGUAAUGUCUGGGAAACUGCCUGAUGGAGGGGGAUAACUACUGGAAACGGUAGCUAAUACCGCAUAACGUCGCAAGACCAAAGAGGGGGACUUUCGGG